CCCUUAGAUGUUCUGGGCCGCACGCGUGCUACACUGAGUGGAUCAGCGGGUCAGGUUGCGCGAAAGUGUUUCCUAAUCUUUAAAUCCGCUCGUGAUGGGGAUUGACGGUUGCAAUUUUCCGUCAUGAACGAGGAAUACCUUGUAAGCGCGGGUCAUCAUCCCGCGCUGAAUACGUCCCUGCCCUUUGUACACACCGCCCGUCGCUCCUACCGAUUGAGUGGUCCGGUGAGGCUUUGGGAUCUGAGCGGAAAGAGCGUUUCGCUGUUUCUGCCCGGAAAACUCAGUCGAACCUUAUCAUUUAGAGGAAGGAGAAGUCGCAACA
rnacentral:rRNA from 1 species